CAGCGUCUACAAGUGGCAACCAUGUUUAUUGGGCCUAAAGCGUCCGUAGCCGGUUUGAUAAAUCUUUUGUGAAAUUGUUGGGCUCAACCCAACAGCGUGCAGAAGAAACUGUUAAACUUGGGACCGGGAGGAGUCAGAGGUAUGUUUUGGGGAGCGGUAAAAUGCUAUAAUCCAAGACAGACCACCUGUGGCGAAGGCGUCUGACUAGAACGGAUCCGACGGUGAGGGACGAAACCCUGGGGCGCGAACCGGAUUAGAGACCCGAGUAGUCC
rnacentral:rRNA from 1 species